UUGCAAGGCAUUUCUGCUAAUGCUGCAGGCUGGCCAACAGCCUCAGGGACUUCCUCUCUGUCCUGCUGCCUCAGCAUUUUCUUCCAGACUAUGCUAUGGGAGGGUGUUGCCUGCCCUUGUUGAGGCCCCCUCUCCAUGCUCUUGCUCCUUGUUUCUCAGUCUCCCAGAAGAACAGCAGCACAAGAGCUGUUUAGAGCAUGGAUACUGCCAUGCAGGUGGAAAGGGAGAAAGAGGGGGACUGGCUGCAGGGUCAUCUCAGAUAUGAGAUGACUACGUGAACCAUACAAGAUUGGUAUAUGAAGAAAGAGAAGUUCAAUGCUCAGUACACAAGGCCAAAAUGUUCAACCAAAGUAAACAGAAACCAGCAACUAAGCUGAUGUGGAAAGUGUGGGUGAUCUACAUAGUCUUGGCUGCACACCUCCCUGAAGAACAAGCCCUGGGACAGGCCUGUCUUUCAUGCGAUGCCACUCAGUCUUGCAACUGCUCUUCCAUGGGUUUGGACUUCAUUCCCUCGGGGCUCACGGGCAAAAUCACGGUGUUAAACCUGGCCCACAACAGGAUAAAGCUGAUCCGGGCGCAUGAUCUGCAGCAGGCUGUGAACCUGAGAGCCCUGCUGCUGCAGUCCAACCAAAUCAGCUCCAUAGACGAGGACUCGUUUGCCUCCCAGGGGAAACUGGAGCUCUUGGACUUGUCAAAUAACAGCCUGGCUCACUUGUCCCCGGUGUGGUUUGGGCCCCUUUUCUCGCUCCAGCACCUCCGCAUUCAAGGCAAUUCCUACAGCGACCUGGGAGAAAGUUCCCCCUUUUCCAGCCUGAGAAACUUGAACUCCCUCCACCUGGGCAACCCACACUUCUCCAUCAUCAGGCAAGGAAACUUUGAGGGCAUUCCGUUUCUCAACAUGCUGAAGAUUGACGGUGGCAAUCUCAGUCAGUACGAACCUGGAAGUCUGAAAUCGAUUAGGAAGAUAAAUCACAUGAUCAUAAGCGUACGAAGGAUUGAUGUAUUCUCAGCAGUCAUCAGGGACCUUCUGCACUCUGCCAUUUGGUUAGAAGUUAGAGAGAUCAAAUUAGAUAUUGAAAAUGAAAAACUAAUUCAGAACUCUACUCUUCCUUCAACUAUACAAAAACUCACAUUUACUGGUGCUUCAUUCACAGAUCAAUACAUUAGCCGAAUAGCAGUGUUAUUGAAGGAAAUCACAUCUUUGAGAGAGUUAGAAGCAAUAGAUUGUGUGCUUGAGGGGAAAGGAGAAUGGGAUACAAAAGAAAUUGCAAGAAGUGGGCAAAGUUCUGUUGAAACAAUAUCAGUAACAAAUAUGACUAUUCUGGAUUUUUAUUUGUUCUUUGAUCUGGAAGGUAUAGAGACACAAGUAGAUAAGCUGAAAAGACUCAGCAUUGCAAGUUCUAAAGUCUUCAUGGUACCAUGCAGACUGGCAAGAUAUUUUUCAUCACUUUUAUAUCUUGAUUUCCGCGAUAAUUUGCUUGUAAAUAAUCGCUUAGUUGAGACAAUCUGUAAAGGUUCAUGGCCUUCAUUACAAACUCUAAAUCUAAGUAAAAAUUCUCUGAAAUCACUAGAACAGGCUGCAAAACAUAUAAGUAAUCUACACAAACUGAUUAAUCUUGAUAUUAGCGAAAACAAUUUUGGUGAGAUUCCAGAUGUGUGUGAAUGGCCUGCAAACCUGAAAUACCUGAAUCUCUCCAGCACUCAAAUUCCCAAAUUAACACGUUGCAUUCCCACAACUCUUGAAGUGCUGGACGUUAGUGCUAACAACCUGCAGGAUUUUGGUCUGCAACUGCCAAAUCUGAAGGAGCUGUACCUGACAGAGAACCAUCUGAAGACCUUGCCCGAAGCUGCAGGCAUUCCUAACUUAGUGGCCAUGUCGAUCAGCAGAAACAAGCUCAACAGCUUCUCCAAGGAAGAGUUUGAGUCCUUCAAGCAAAUGGAGCUGCUGGAUGCCAGCGCCAACAACUUCAUUUGCUCGUGCAAAUUCCUCUCCUUCCUUCAGCGUGAGGCAGGGAUAACCCAGGCGCUUGUGGGGUGGCCAGAAAGCUACAUCUGCGACUCUCCGCUGGCGGUGCGAGGGGCACAGGUUGGGAGCGUGCGGCUGUCGCUGAUGGAGUGCCACCGGUCCUUCCUGGUGUCUUUGAUCUGCAUUCUGACGUUCCUGUUCAUCCUGAUCCUGGUGGUCAUCGGGUACAAGUACCAUGCGGUCUGGUACAUGAGAAUGACCUGGGCAUGGCUCCAAGCCAAGCGGAAGCCCAAGCGAGCCCCCGCGAAAGACGUCUGCUACGACGCCUUUGUCUCCUACAGUGAGAACGACUCCAACUGGGUGGAAAACAUCAUGGUGCAGCAGCUGGAGCAGGCGUGUCCACCCUUUAGGCUGUGCCUCCAUAAGCGGGACUUUGUGCCCGGGAAGUGGAUUGUGGACAACAUCAUCGACUCCAUCGAGAAGAGCCACAAGACGCUCUUUGUGCUGUCGGAGCACUUUGUGCAGAGCGAGUGGUGCAAGUACGAGCUGGAUUUCUCGCACUUUCGCCUCUUUGACGAGAACAACGACGCGGCGAUCCUCCUCCUGCUGGAGCCCAUCCAGAGCCAGGCGAUCCCCAAGAGGUUCUGCAAGCUGCGCAAGAUAAUGAACACCAAGACCUACCUGGAGUGGCCUCCUGAUGAAGAGCAACAGCCGAUGUUUUGGGAGAACUUGAAAGCAGCUCUCAAAGCCUAGAUAGGAUCAUUAAAAACUGAGUCCCUACCCAUCCUCUUCUGGAUUUAUUUCCAUUGCCUUUUUGUGCCUUUAUCUAGCUGUAUCUAACAGAGGUCUGAGCUACUGUAAUUGCUGUUACUUGCUUUGAAAUUGUACUCUUCUUGUCUCUGUGAUCAUGACUUUUCUAAGCAUUUUAAUCAGCUGUCUUACCUAAAGCAGUUCUGUUUAAAGGUGUUCCUCACCUCUUUUUCUCUGCAACUUAUUCCACAAAGCCAGAGCAGCUGAAGACUUUCCCACCUCAAACACUGUUGGAUGGGCUCAUGUUAUCUUAGGAAGAUGGCUGGGACAAGGAUUGUAACUGCUGAAGAAGUGGAGUAAACAGAGACACCACCACCAAGCUCUUCCUUCAGAUGUCAUCCGAAAAUGAAGGGGAGUCUCAGGUGGCACCUGUCCUGCAGGUGCAGAGAGUUUCAGCCAAACCUUAACAGCUUCAAUCUGGUCAGCCUAAUAACUAACUGUCUGCUUGAUCAGGUCAGUGUUUAGGCAUAAUGUUCUUGGGACUGACAUUGGCAGGUAUGCACAGAAGCAAAUCUUGAAAGGCUUCCCAUGGAAACGUUUACAGUACUUAUUACUUUAUCUGGGGUUAGAUGAUAGAAUCAUGAACAGCUUGAGUUGGAAGGGAGCUUAAGGACCACUUAGUUCCAAAGCUCAGCCAUAGUCAGGAAUACCUUCCAGUAGGAAAGGCUGCUCACAGUCCUAUCCAACCUGGCAUCCACAGCUUCUCUGGGCAGCCUGUGCCAAUGCCUUGCUGUUCUCUGAGUAAAGAAUUCCUUCCCAACACUUAAUCUAAUUAUACUGUAUUUUAGUUUAAAUAAGGAGGAAAUCACUUUGGAUGCUACAAGAAGUUCAGAAAUAGAGCAGGCAAAAUGAUUUGUCCUUAAAGUCAGUGAAUAUCACAUGUUCUAAUUCUGAACAUGCACUUAUUAAAAAAAGGGAAGGGGCUCAAUUAUUAGAAGUUAAGGCAGCCCAUAACUAACUGAACAUCAAAACAAGUGUAUGUGUAAAGGCCAAAAGAGAAAAGUCUUCUGCAUUCUCCACUGCCUUCACAGUACAAGCAGUUAGACCAGCAUUUCCUCUACCAACAGACACCUACCUCCAGCUACCUCUGCAACAGGAAAUAUUUGCCAAAAUUUCAGGUAGCUUUUCCUCCACAGAGAGUUCUAUGUGACUAUCAAGCAUAUAAUGACCAUUACUGUGAUUAGGUCUUUCUACAAGUGGACAUUGGGAUAUGCAGGAAUUACAGCACAGCAGCUCUUGUAAGAGGCAAGGGGAAAAAAAAGAAAAAAAUCUAAAAGUAAUCUUACAUUACCUUACAUUAAUAAGAUGAUGAAACUAUUUGGGUGCUAUGUUUCAGACUUUGAUGUAUACAAAGCCAUUAUCUAACUUAAAAUUCUUCUUAUCUGCUACACAACUUCCUGCUGUAAAAAUUUUAGCUAGAAGUCACUAGCAAGGUAUUUAACAAUGAAACAAACUUUAAAUAUUGGCACUUCCUUUUUUUUUUUUUUUUUUAAUGGGUAUAAUAAGAAAAUAAGUACUUUUUUUCUAGCACAAUCUUCUCAUUAAACGCAGCAAUUUCUUUAAAAAAUGCCUUCCUAAUAUGCUGUAAAGUCCUUCUGUAAUGUGGAAAGAGACCCGAUCUUGCAAAAGGGUACAUAGCACAGCAGAAUUGUACCAACCAGCUAUACCAAAAGCUACUUUAUCUGGUCUUUUACAAUUAAGCAUGAAAUAUGCAUAGGGCAGUGCUCAGGAAAAUAUCCAAUUCUGCAUUCUCACUAAUUUCUGACUUCUGUUCCAGAUAUAGGAAGUAAUUAAUGUAUAGGACUAUGCUUACAACUGGUUACAGAGUCAGCCCAUGUAAUACAUGUUCCCACCUAAUCUGUUGUUAAGGAAAUUGGAGAUAAAAAUUACCAGUAGGUAAGUCUUGAUGUCUUCCUUAGCUGAAGUCAAAGAGAAAGUAUUGGGUUAAUGUUUUGAAUUGUCUUCACUACUUUUUUUUUGGAGGAGUAAGAUUAAAUUUAAAUAUCCUCCUCACAUACUGUGAAGUCACAAAAAUGGACUUAAAAAAAAUUUAUUUUAACUCGAGCAGUUUUCUACAGAUACAGCAGCAAAUCUUCAACAGAUAUUUCUUAUGCUGGAGAAAAAAUGUAGUUUACUAAGAGGAGGGGAAAAAUAGCACUUGUUCUGAAAGUGGGUUAUACCAAUCUCAUUAUUUAAAGAACAAAAGCCACUGCAUAGUCCUAAAUCUUUACAUACUUUACAUACUUUAAAACACUCCUCUCAUUAUAUAAAUUAUUUAAGAACGUCUUAAAAUCAAGGAGGAAGAUAUAAACAUACUUUUUUUUUUUAGCUUGCUUGGAUUUUACAUAGGAUAAAGCCAAACAAACUAUCAUCUUCCCUAAAUAUAAUUGCUCUUUAAUAAUAGUUGUUUUUCCAUUCAUUUGAUGUGGCCAUCUCAUCCCUCCACUGCAGAUCAAAACAAGAAUUAGCAAGUAAUCAGGCCACAGUUUAGAAAAUUCAAAUCGAAAGCACACUUGUUAGGGAAAGGAUAUGAGUAACUCAACGCCAUCUUCAAAUCAAGCCUUUUGGCACAGCAUGGGCAAGUCUGUUUCUUGCCAACUCUGAACCAACCACAGAUGCAUAAUCCAUGAAACCUGGUAUCAGGUGUAUUUUCAGUAAAUCCUUCAAAUGUAAACAAGGCUUAGAACAUCAAUCUGAAAAUGUAUUGAAACCAUCCACAGAAAGUUUUUAUGGCUGAUUAUGGGUACUGCCUUGUUUGAAAACCCAGUAGUUUCAAAUGGCUUAAAACAUUUAGAAUAGUUAGAAAAAGCAAAGUUCUGAACACCCAGACCAGUGGUCAUUUUCCAGCACACAGGAAACCAGAAGACUUAUGCUCUGCAGGAGGAAGUGAUUAGUGACAGUGUUCCAGCACAAAUGCUGUGCCUUUCUUGUUUUCCGGAGUGCACAGUGAUGGGCUGUUUGGACCCCUGAGAAUCAGCCACUGCGUAUUCUGCUAGGCUAUAGGCUACAACUGUGCCAUCCUCUGGGGAAGCUUCCACACCUGCCUUAAAACUACUUGUCACACACAGACCCAGGCAUAGAUGGGAAGUCCUUUGCAGUGCGUAGGAUCCUGAGCUAGAAGACCUGGCUAAGGGGUCAGUGUGCCUGGUUUGCUGGGGCUGCCCCAGAAUAUAGACAGGCAUGAAGUAUCUGAAAGGUAGAUCUGAGUAUGCAACUCCAGGGUUAUUGCCAUUCUUGCUUCAGUUUAUCUGUCAAAGAGCGGCAUGGACUCAAUUUGUCACAGAACUGAAAUAUAUCUCAUAGUCUGAUUUUUA